GCGUCCGUAGCUCAGUUGGUUAGAGCACCACCUUGACAUGGUGGGGGUCGGUGGUUCGAGUCACUCGGACGCA
rnacentral:tRNA from 1 species